AGUGGCUCUUACAGUCAAAUAGGCAUAAGAAGUUCUGGUUUGUCAUGACAUCCAGAUUAAUACAAACAACAAUAUAUUUGGUGGAACAGUUUGAUAAAAUUGAAGAAGGGGAUUUAGAAGUUUUCCCCAUAAAGGAAUGAUAACCAAGGACAUAGAUAUGCUUGAUCUGAUAGAAAUACAAUUUGUGUGUUAGAUAACAAGGCAGAGAAAGACUUUGAAGAGGUGGAGAGAGGGAAGCAGCCACGCCCAUGAGCUGCACAGAGCCCUGCCGUGGUUUGAAUGUGUUCUCCAGAGUUCACUCGUGGGAACUUUAAUCUCCAAAGCAUGAGUGUUCAAAGAUUUUAUUCUUUAAUAUAUGUCUUACCCCUCAAACUUUGCCUGUCUGCGUCUAGAGAAUCCAACCAGAGAAUACAAAGAUCAGCAAAGAGGAGGGUGAGAAGAACCCAUGUUUUUCUCUAUGAAGAACUUCUAUUGCCAAAAGGAAAAUUUAUUAUAGUUCACUUGCUGGUAUCAGAACAACACACCCUGUCUCGGACACCAACCUGUAUACACUCGAAAGUGAAAAUGAAAAGAGUUUUAAUGAAGACGCUAUUUGCAAAGUUAGAGACAGGUGUAAAGGCCCAAGGAGGAUGUUAAUAAGAAUAACUUCUUACCAAGAACGAAUUUGACACGGAGAUUAUAAAAAUAUGACGAACUAUACAAGAAGUCAUCAUCACACUAGGCCUGAAAAGAUCAGGGUAAGGAAUAAUCAGAAGAUUCCAGAAAAUGUGUAGCUGUAGCUAAGACACAGGUUUUCUUUGAUGAACUCUGGAAAAGUGCAGCUGUGAACGAACCAUAGCGUAACAUGCGAAGGGCUAAAGGAACACAAACCCAGCUCUCAGUCUAUCCAGUGUGUCAAAUCGCUGCCAGGGAUUUCUGUCCCCUGAAGCACCCAGAAGCCAGAACGCCAGUCAUAGAUAACUUCCUUAUACAGAAGGCAGCGCGAACAGAGAGUAGGGUGGAUCCGGUAGGCAAAUGGAAAAUAGCCCAAUGUAUUAAUCCUCAAGGUCAAGAAUGACAUGCUAAUUUAGGAAGUACAGUAAGAGGAGAACACAGGAGAGAAUACUGUAUCAGAAAUUGAAAGGCCAGAAUUGUAUGCUAUUAAUAUCGCUUUGAAAUUUCUGGCAAGCUAUUCUAUCUCUCUGAGCCGUUUUGUCUUCUGUGAAAAAGAUUUCCAUGAACUCUAGGGUUUCAUCAAGGUUAACAGUCCAUAAUUAGACAUAUCCGAGUUUCCAAUGCAAAGUAUAUGAAGAGAACGACUUCAGGAAAUGAAAUUCAGAAUUAUUUAAGAAAGCAGCAUAAUGAUCAGAUAGUAAUGAUCUGCUUAAGGAAAAUUAAGAAUGGAGCAGGAAUAGCCCUUUGUACGGUUUGCAAAUAAAGAUGGAUUAUUAAAAAUAAUGAAAGUGGCUACAGAAGAUGAUACAAAAAUGAAAAGAAACAAAAGAAACCCAGAUGAUUUAGUGAAAUUUUAACAAUAAUCUAAAUUAUUCUGAUCUAAUCCAAAUAGUAGCAGAUUAA